rnacentral:tRNA from 1 species
GCCGGAAUAGCUCAAUUGGGAGAGCGUUAGACUGAAGUUGUUUACGCACAAUCAUCUAAAGGACCCCGGUUCAAUCCCGGGUUCCGGCA